AUGAACGCUGGCGGCGUGCUUAACACAUGCAAGUCGAACGAAGCACUUUAUUUGAUUUCCUUCGGGACUGAUUAUUUUGUGACUGAGUGGCGGACGGGUGAGUAACGCGUGGGUAACCUGCCUUGUACAGGGGGAUAACAGUUGGAAACGGCUGCUAAUACCGCAUAAGCGCACAGCAUCGCAUGAUGCAGUGUGAAAAACUCCGGUGGUAUAAGAUGGACCCGCGUUGGAUUAGCUAGUUGGUGAGGUAACGGCCCACCAAGGCGACGAUCCAUAGCCGACCUGAGAGGGUGACCGGCCACAAUGGGACUGAGACACGGCCCAAACUCCUACGGGAGGCAGCAGUGGGGAAUAUUGCACAAUGGGCGAAAGCCUGAUGCAGCGACGCCGCGUGAGCGAAGAAGUAUUUCGGUAUGUAAAGCUCUAUCAGCAGGGAAGAUAAUGACGGUACCUGACUAAGAAGCACCGGCUAAAUACGU
rnacentral:rRNA from 1 species